CCCUUAGAUGUUCUGGGCUGCACGCGCGCUACACUGAUGCGUUCAACGAGUUUAUGACCUUGCCCGAUAGGGUUGGGUAAUCUUUUUAAAUCGCAUCGUGAUGGGGAUAGAUUAUUGCAAUUAUUAAUCUUCAACGAGGAAUUCCUAGUAAGCGCGAGUCAUCAGCUCGUGCUGAUUACGUCCCUGCCCUUUGUACACACCGCCCGUCGCUCCUACCGAUUGAAUGGUCCGGUGAAAUUCUCGGACGCGGACUUGCGAUGUUAAUUCGGAGCUUGACUGUGAAAGUUAAUUAAACCUUACCAUUUAGAGGAAGGUGAAGUCGUAACA
rnacentral:rRNA from 1 species